rnacentral:rRNA from 1 species
GACGAACGCUGGCGGCGUGCUUAACACAUGCAAGUCGAACGGAAAGGCCCUGCUUUUGUGGGGUGCUCGAGUGGCGAACGGGUGAGUAACACGUGAGUAACCUGCCCUUGACUUUGGGAUAACUUCAGGAAACUGGGGCUAAUACCGGAUAGGAGCUCCUGCUGCAUGGUGGGGGUUGGAAAGUUUCGGCGGUUGGGGAUGGACUCGCGGCUUAUCAGCUUGUUGGUGUGGUAGUGGCUUACCAAGGCUUUGACGGGUAGCCGGCCUGAGAGGGUGACCGGCCUAAUUAGGACUAAGAUACGGCCCAGACUCCUACGGGAGGCAACAGUGGGGAAUAUUGCACAAUGGGCGGAAGCCUGAUGCAGCAACGCCGCGUGCGGGAUGACGGCCUUCGGGUUGUAAACCGCUUUCGCCUGUGACGAAGCGUGAGUGACGGUAAUGGGUAAAGAAGCACCGGCUAACUACGUG